CGGGGGAGCAAGCGUUGUUCGGAUUUACUGGGCGUAAAGGGCGCGUAGGCGGCGCAACAAGUCACUUGUGAAAUCUCCGGGCUUAACUCGGAGCGGCCAAGUGAUACUGUCGUGCUAGAGUGCGGAAGGGGCAACUGGAAUUCUCGGUGUAGCGGUGAAAUGCGUAGAUAUCGAGAGGAACACCUGCGGCGAAGGCGGGUUGCUGGGCCGACACUGACGCUGAGGCGCGAAAGCCAGGGGAGCGAACGGGAUUAGAUACCCCGGUAGUCCUGGCCUUGAACGAUGGAUGCUUGGUGUCCGGGGUUACAUAGUCCCCGGGUGCCGUCGCUAACGCCUUAAGCAUCCCGCCUGGGGAGUACGCACGCAAGUGUG
rnacentral:rRNA from 1 species